GCUUGAGCUCUGAGAAGCUGUCUGUGACAGGAAAUGGUGUGUGACAGGAAGUUACAUGCCCGUAAAAGGAAGUCUGAGAGAGAAGUGUGUGUGGGCAAACUGCAGAGUGUGUGCAUGAAAUAAGAGUGUAUUGUUUUUACAUUAAGGUUUAGUAGAACUAAAGUAGAAUGUUAUAAACAAACAGAUGAAUAAAGGUGGACUUCUCUCAACCUGGAAUUUUGAGUACGGCGCCAAAACCAAUAGAGUAGCAUAAUGGGGAGAAGACAGGCCAGAUUUUGGCUUAAAGUUUCACAGCUUGACCUCACACUUGUCCCCCAUCCUGAGAAGAAGCUCAAAGGACAGUUAAUCUCCGGAUGAAGACCGACAGAACAUCGCGGAAUUAAUAGCAGGCAAAACUCAGUGCAACACUGAAACCGAAACUGACGGGACCAGCAGCGGCAUGGAAAAGCAGACGACGCAACAUGUACUGUAAAUUACAGGCUGGGCAGUUGAACAGUGGAAUAAUGAGCUGUGGAAAGCACUGGACACUGAUUGUCAGAUUUGCCAUGCUUGGAGUUGAAAGAGACGAGUGAAAGGAUCAACAGAGAAGAAGAAACCACGUGAUGAAACAUGCACGGUGAACAGCAGGCUGGUAAGAACAGUGCGACAUAACUGUUUAAAGGCACUGAAUGUGAUAUUUUGCCAGGCUGGAUUUAAUCCAAAAGGAAAAUACUGAAGAGAAACAGAGAAGAAACGGACUGUGUUUGCUGGAGAAUUCAAGACAACAAAAAGAACACUGAGAGAAAAGGGACCAGUGAGAAGUGAAGCCUGAGUUCGAUUGUGAGAAUACAGGGUGGAAUUGGACUGAAAGUGAAGCCUGAACUCAUGAUGGUUUAGGGAUGUCCACCGUCAUAAACAAAGAGUUGUGUUUCUUUAGGUACGAAACAGAUCUGGAUCAUUUGUCCACAUUCAGCGGUCGGAAGAAACCUAUAGGUUAACUUGACUGGACAUGCCAAGAAAAGGAAGCAUAGCAGAGACGAGAAGUGCAGACUUGGGUAGGAAUUUAGAGGUUAGUGAUUAUAUGAUGUCGUAAGGGGUCUUAUGCUGAAUUUAAGUAUGUUAAAGAGCAUAAGGGGGUGAAUUUUGUGUGCAAAUUGUGUGGUUUUAAUGAGAUUUUUGGUGUACUGAGGAGGUGCGAAUUAUGUGGUGGCAAAACUUUUGUGUUUGGGGUUGUUGAUGGGUGGAUUCUGUCAGUAAGGGUUGGGUUGUUGCUGUUUUUGUUUUUAAUAGAGGGAGUUUUAGGAAACAUGGACAUGUCUGAGGGGCCCAUUAUUUUAUAACAGUGCACUUAAAGAAAACCUGUCAGGUGAUUUUGUUUUGUGUUUUGUGAGCUAAUAAUCAGCUCUAUUUUUUCUCAUUUUUGUUCUAAGCAGGCCUGCAACAGCGCUGACAGAUUCUCGGGAAGUGCAAACAUAAGGGCUUUCCAGAUUGGCUUUUACCAGAGAAAAUUUCUGUUUUGUAAACUGGGGUUAGAUUAUGGGGUUAUAGUAUAUUGUUGUGAGGAUGCCAAAUAAAAGGGAAACAUUUUUGAUGUAACUCAGUUACCAUUAAUUAGAGGAACACAUGACUGAUAAUUGUUCUGUUUUAAGUUUAUUUUUAUGACAUAGAUGGG
ensembl:lncRNA